UGCAUGAAGUCGGAAUUGCUAGUAAUCGCGGAUCAGCAUGCCGCGGUGAAUACGUUCCCGGGCCUUGUACACACCGCCCGUCACACCAUGGGAGCCGGUAAUACCCGAAGUCAGUAGUCCAACCUCGUGAGGACGCUGCCGAAGGUAGGAUUGGCGACUGGGGUGAAGUCGUAACAAGGUAUC
rnacentral:rRNA from 1 species